UUUUUUUUUUUGGAGAAAGGGAAAUACAUUACCCAUAAAUAAACAAAACAUAAAAAGGGCUUAAAUACACACAAAGAAAAAAAGAAAAAAUGGACCCUAAAACACACAGACAAAGCCUAAAGAAAGCAUUAGGACCCAGCACAAACACACCACACAACAAAAGAAACCCUAAAUCACAGCUACUGUAGUUGCUCCUCCUGCCGCCAACACCUCCCAACAAUUCGAAGCUAUCUCCGCCACAAGGACCUGCCAUCACACCAUCUCGAGUCCCAGAGUUGAGGAAGAAAAAAGUCGCUCCAUCCUCCACAAACUACCAAAACGAUCGCCACCAUAGAACAAAGGAAGCCCACGGGAAGAGAGAUCCCACGAACGACAGCGCCAACAAGGAUGAACAAUGGGAAGAAACAACAAGGGUCAACAAAGGUGAUGGUGCAAACACCCGAGCCAAAGCUCUACACACCCUCCCAUGGAACAGCGACAAAUCGCGGUGAAAACUGGCGAAAUCGAAAUUAGGAUUGAUGGAAAGAAAAUGGAGCUAUGGGGGAAAUGACCGAAUGAGAUGGAUGAAACGGGUGAACCUGAUUUGAGGCUCGAGAUGAUGAAAACAGAGUCAAACAAAGUACCAGGAAGGAAACGGGGCUAAGGUUAUUACAAAAAACCGCCAGAGAAAGAAAAAGAACAAGACAAAGGAAAAUCAAGGGACUGCCACCGAC
rnacentral:lncRNA from 1 species